rnacentral:rRNA from 1 species
GACGAACGCUGGCGGCGUGCUUAACACAUGCAAGUCGAACGGAAAGGCCCUGCUUUUGUGGGGUGCUCGAGUGGCGAACGGGUGAGUAACACGUGAGUAACCUGCCCUUGACUUUGGGAUAACUUCAGGAAACUGGGGCUAAUACCGGAUAGGAGCUCCUGCUGCAUGGUGGGGGUUGGAAAGUUUCGGCGGUUGGGGAUGGACUCGCGGCUUAUCAGCUUGUUGGUGGGGUAGUGGAUUACCAAGGCUUUGACGGGUAGCCGGCCUGAGAGGGUGACCGGCCACAUUGGGCCUGAGAUACGGCCCAGACUCCUACGGGAGGCAGCAGUGGGGAAUAUUGCACAAUGGGCGGAAGCCUGAUGCAGCAACGCCGCGUGCGGGAUGACGGCCUUCGGGUUGUAAACCGCUUUCGCCUGUGACGAAGCGUGAGUGACGGUAAUGGGUAAAGAAGCACCGGCUAACUACGUG